AGCUGCUGAGGAAUCUUACCGAAGAUCUGGUUUUGGCUCAGAUCCAACGUAAGUAUGCUCCUAGCGAACUUGACCUUGGAGAGAUCGAACUGAAACUUGUUUCUCGACAGAUCCACUUGUAUUGUUGUUUUGUUACGUCCGAAGAACAUCGAGCCAUCUCCGACGAAACUGUUUCCCGACAGAAACACCACGUUGAAGUCGUGUUUUGACAACGAUUCCGGUAUUUUUCCUGUAGUUUUUUUAAACCGGGAUUUAUCAAUAUUCAUUAACAAAACCUUAAUCUAGUUGAAAAUUAAUCCUAAUAAUAAAGUAAUUAAUAUAUUUUAAAAUCCUACUACUGUAUUUAACAUCAUUGAAGAUGUACUGUACUAUUAAAGAAGUGAAAAAAUGAUGGUUAUACCUGAGAGCCGAUUGUUAGACAAUUCGAGUCCAGGGACGUUGCCAACAAAAGAACCGAAAGAGUUUGGUAUAGAACCGGUUAGCUUGUUAUCGUUGACGUGAAUGGCUAAAAGCUUCGGCAUCUGUGAAAGUGAACCGGGAAUUGGACCGGUCAAUUGGUUCUCGGAAAGGCCCAAGUAGGUGAGGUUCUUGAGGUCGCUGAUGUUAUCAGGAAUGGGACCAGAGAAAUUGCUGUACUUAAAGAAGAGGGUGUCGAGGCUCCUGAGCUUGGUGACGGCUGGUGGGAUGUUUCCGGAGAAUUUUUUAGAGGAAAGGGUGAGGUAAGUGACACGACCGUAAGUGCAUUCGACGCCGCUCCAUCCGGUACAGCAAUCGGUUUGGGGAUUCCAAGAGGAGAGGAGGGGAUGGUUGUUCAGUGAUUUCUUGAUUUCAAGUAGAGCGCUUUUGUCAUUUGCGGUGCAGCUUUGAGAAGAUGGCAGAGAGAUGAAGAGGAUGGAGAAGAAGAUAGAGAGAUGAAGAAGAAGGAGCUUCAUUGUGAUGAUUUUGGUGUGGUUACUUUGGGCAUUGAUACAACUUAUUAGUGAUAUAUAUAAAUUUUACAUUCAUUCGAAAUAUAUAUAUAACAUAUAAUAAUGGAACACAGCUGUGUAAAAUGUUACUGGUUUUGUACAGUAUGGGUUCUCCACUUCACCUUAACGUACAAUAUUCUUUUCACAUAAUUAAUUCGUAUUGUAUUCUCUUUUGAGGUUUGUAGAUGCGGGGAACCAGUUUGAUUCGAUAUUCAAAAAUUUUGAACGUACGCUCGUCACUUCAGCAGACAAUUUCUAAAACCUUAUCUCUUCGUACGUAAUGUUUUGUUUAUUAGUUUUAUCGGAUGCUCAAAUAUGAAAAACGUGCUUACUCUAUAUCAAAAUUCAAAACUAUGACCUCAUAGUAUGAGGCAUAUAUGUCAUAAACCGCAUAAAUGUUAGACUUAGAAUUCUGAUAAUCUCAACACCAUUCUUACUUUUGUCUUACCAUUAAUUAAAUUUUAAACAAUAGACUUGGUUGGCGGUGAUAAUGAACAUAUAUUCAAUCAUCACAGAUCAAACAUAAUUAUUUUUUGCCUGCGCCAACAUCAAACUAAAUCUAACAAGCCUUAAGCGGUGUGCCACAAAGACAGAGGUUGUGAGAGAAAGCAGAUGGUUCAAAGGUCUGAAGGAGACCGCCACUUGGGAUUUUCCCGCAGAGAUGGUUGUAGCUCACGUUGAAAUGCUCUAGGCGCAGCUUACUCAACUCCCGUGGAAACUUGCCGAAGAUUCGGUUUUGGCUCAGGUCCAACGAAACUAUGCUUCUAGCGAACUUGACCUUGGAGAGAUCGAACUGAAAUAGGUUCCUCGAUAGAUCCACUCGUAUUGUUGUUUUGUUCCGUCCGAAGAACAUCGAACCAUCUCCCAUGAAACCAUUUCCCGACAGAUCCACUGCAUUGAAGUCGUAUUUGGACAACGAUUCUGGUACCUUUCCUGUAAAUGAAGCAAUAUUAUUGAUUUAUAAAUCUUGAUCCCAAAAUAAUCUAUAUCUUGAUUUAUAUAAAAGUCCUAAAGAUUUUCAUUUAAAAGUACGAUGCUAGUUCUAAGUUCUGACAUUAAAAAGGAUUUGACCAAAAAGUAUACUAUUCAAUUAAAGAAAUAGAAAAUGAUGGCUUUAUACCUGAGAGCUUAUUGUUAAACAAGUAGAGAUUAGGGACGUUGCCAACAAAUGAACCGAAAGAGUUUGGUAUAGAACCGGUUAGCUUGUUAUCGUUGAUCUGAAUGGCUUGAAGCUUCGGCAUCUGAGAAAGCGAACCGGGGAUUGGACCGGUAAACUGGUUAAAGGAAAGGUCCAAGAACGUGAGGGUCUUGAGCUCGCUGAUGUAAUCAGGAAUCGAACCGGAGAGAUUGGUUUGCUUUAACCGGAGGAGGUCAAGAUUCUUGAGCUUGGUGAUACUGCGUGGGAUGUUUCCAGUGAGGUGGGUCAGGU
rnacentral:lncRNA from 1 species